CCAUUACUUUGUACUCCCGAGUAUUUCCCGAGAGAUAUUCCCUAGCUGGCUAUUAUUACUUCCGUGGACAUACUAGCGUGUCUGGAAUAUUGAGGCUUUCGUCCGUGUACAGCAUAUGGUAAUUGUUCCAUCGCAUUGUAGAAAACAAAAAAGCUGCGACACAGUUCACAGUCACCGUCUCCUGCGGAAAUGUAACUAUUUUAUCACGCGGUUACAUCAGGUGAGACAAGAAAGAAUUGAAUGGAGAGAGAGAGAGAGAGAGAGGAGAAAGGGGAAAUGGCUGCGAAAGAGAACACCAGCCAGAAGAACAGCGAA
rnacentral:sRNA from 1 species